rnacentral:rRNA from 1 species
GACGAACGCUGGCGGCGUGCUUAACACAUGCAAGUCGAACGGACAGGCCCUGCUUUCAGGGUACUCGAGUGGCGAACGGGUGAGUAACACGUGGGUGAUCUGCCCUGCACUUCGGGAUAAGCCUGUGCAACUGGGUCUAAUACCGGCUAGGAGCCAUUUUUAGUGUGAUGGUUGGAAAGUUUUUUCGGUUUAGGAUGAGCUCGCGGGCUAUCAGCUUGUUGGUGGGGUAAUGGCCUACCAAGGCGGCGGCGGGUAGCCGGACUGAGAGGGUGGACGGCCACCUUGGGACCGAGGUGCGGCCCAGACUCCUAAGGGAGGGAGCAGUGGGGAAGAUUGACCGAGGGGCGCCAGCCUGAUGCAGAGGCGCCGCGUGGGGGAUGACGGCCUUAGGGUUGUAAAAUACUUUCGCUAGGGACGAAGCUUUUUGUGACGGUACCUAGAUAAGAAGCCCCGGCUAACUACGUG